UUUCUAGACUAUGUUCUAAGAAACACUGAUAUUGUUGCAUGUUAGUUGAUGGUCGCCCAAGAAGGCUUCCAUUGUUAAAUAAGUUUGAAAAAAAAAAAAAAUGAAUCGAACUAAUUAGAUUUCUUCUUAGUGGGACUUCUUGGGGCUUUGCUAUGAUCUGUUAAUGGAAGUCUCCAAGAAGGAGAUAAACUUUUCCCAAGAUUUACUCUCCGUAUCACACUCUCACUCAAAUGCUGUAUCUUACAUGGAAGAUUUGGUACAUUGUCUCUCUAAACACAGCAUAUUUUCUACUGACUCAUUUCACGAAACCUAUUUGGACAGGACUAGCUAAUUAUUCGUGCUUUGCUUUGGUUCUAGGCUCAGGAUUUGCGCCAUAACUAGUCUUGAAGCACUACUCUAAGGGUCAUGAUUUUCAGUCAGAGGGAUAUACCUGGAAUCACAGGCUAUAGGUGUGAAAUCCAAUUUGUGUUUUGUUUGGAAAAUAAAUGUUUUGUUUUGGAGCUCCAGGAUGGUGAGAGGCUGACGAGGUGUUGCAGUGGCAAACAGGGUAAGGUGAGGAGACAGGAAGGUGCCGUCUUCUGACUUAGUGUUCUGCCCAGGGAGGAAUUUGAGAUGGCCCUGGAAAUUCAAUUCCUGGAAAAAGAAAACCGCAAACAUAAUGAGCACAGAAGGUAAGAGGAUGUUAAGUAGCUAAAACUGUAUAGAACUUGCCCCCUUAUGGAAUUCAGAGGAGUCCAGUAUCCUGCUGGGAGCCAAACAGGCAGAGCUCUCCUUGAACCCCCAACAUAGCACAGGUGUUUGCAGGCCUAGAAUCUAAUUCUUCUGGCCUGCCCAGCAGGCACUCAUCAUUUUUCAUGGCUCCUCAGCCCUCCCUCAGGGCCCUGCCCCAUACAGCCCUUUUCCCAAAGCUGCAGAGCAUAGUGUUAGUUAAGCUGUGAGGGGAUAUACAAUUCCAGGUGAUGGUGAAGAAGAUGAAUGUUAACAUCCUGAGUUCACCAGGGACGUAGGGCUGUACCAGAGGUAACAGGUGUAUCUGAAUCCUAAGUAAACAUAUCCCAAGUCUUAACUAGGCAGAGGAAGUUUCAAAAGACAACUGCAUCUUCAACAGGCUGACCCUCUGAAAUGUUAGUGAGCUGAAGGCCUGCGGACCCUUCCUGGGGUGGUGAGGAGGCUAGGCCCAACCUUUGGGCAGUGUUCCACCUGAGCAGACUUACAUACUGGUUUUGCGAGUCCUGACCCUGUAAAGACAAUAUGUUUACCAGAAACCCAGAAGAAUUGUCCAGCAGGCAGCGGAACCGACAGACAAAGCUUCUCUCCAGGCCCCAACGUGACAGACAGACCACUGGCCACUGCUGAAGAAUCUAGAUACAUUUGCAUUGUGGCUCACAUCUCCCUCCACAUGAGGCUGACGACCAGGAAGAGAGACUCACGGGAACCGAGGAGGGAGGAGCUGCUCCGCACACCCACAGGGAGAACUCGCUCUCAGUUGCGGAAAUGUGCCCUAGGCUCUGACUGUGGCGCUCGUGCCUACUACACCUCAUGGCUCCACCACCGUGUUCAGGGCCAUGAUCCUGCAGUGUCCCCAGCCAGUGACUGAGUAUGGCAGGGACACCAAGGCCGGCCUGUUCCCAGGGGACUCUGAUCGCCUCUGAUGGGCAAUUCGGGAUUAAGAACUUCCCAUCAGCCUUGCCGAAUUCUCUUAGAACUUCCAGCCGUACACAUUUCUCCUCUGUCUCCUGCCCAAGGGCCAGACCUGCGUGGAAGUGUGGCAGCUCCCCUGUCCACAGCUGCCUCCCCGUGCUCUGCUCCUCAGAAGAUGCUCCCUGAGGAAUCUCGCUCAUCUCAUCCUGUGUGGCAUCUGCUUCUUAAAGGACCUGGCCUAACAUGCCCUCCAACAGGUCUUUAGAUGAUAACUCAAGCAGCUGCCAAUCAGAAAAUUUUUGAAUCCGUCUAUGACCCGGAAGCCCCCAGUUCCAGUUGUCCCGCCUUUCUGGAUUGAAUUAAUUGACGUCUUAAGUCUCCCUAAAAUGUAUAAAACCAAGUUGUAGGCUGACCACCUUGGGCCCAUGUCAUCAGGACCUCCUGAGGCCGUGUCACAGGCGUGUCCUUAACUUCGGUUAAAUAAACUCCUACAUUACUUGAGACUUGUUUCAGAUACUCUUUGGUUUACAGUCUCCACCCAAAUAUCAGGUGAACUGUAAUCCCCAGUGUUGGAGGUGGGGCCCCGUGGGAGGUGACUGGAUCAUGGGGGCAAAUUUCUCAUGAAUGGUAUAACAUCAUCCCCUUGGGGCUGUCCUCACAAGAAUGAGUGAGUUCUUAGGAGAUCUGGUUAUUUAAAAGUGUGUGUGGCACCUCCCUCCUUGCCCUCUUGCCCCUGC